UGGGCUUCUAUGCUGCUCCUUUCCUGUGUGAAUGUAAAGUGUGCUGCUCACAACUUUUGCUUUUCCGCAUGAGUUUUCCUGGGAAGAAAGUAUAUUCCUCCGUUCUUCUGAGUCGCCCUUGAAAGCAGGGACUGGGGUCUACUUCUGGUUAAGAAACGUCACUUUAAAGUACAUAUACACAGAACACAACUGCUUAUAAUUUUUUGCUCCUUCACAGUCUUGGAAUGAAGAUGGAGCCCAUUGCCACACCUUCUACUGAUUCCCAUUAAAUGGGUCCUCAUGCUUUCACUUCAGCAUUUGUAUCAGGAGACCUUCUGAAUAUUCAUAUUCUUGGGAUGCUGUAAGAGGAACAUAAAGCUACAAUUCAGAGAAAAUACGUAUGUGUUCGGUGGGUCUGAAGAAUCAAUCCAUCAGAAUUGGAAAUUAAAGAAACACAAAACCGGUCCUGUGCCAAGUGUGGCUUGGCAAGUUCUCACAAGGAGGAACACUUUCUCUGCAAUGGUAGACACUUAGCCUGGGGUCUCUCCACCACCUCGAAGGACCUACAGACCCCCUUCCCAACAGUGUGCUCUAUGAGAUGCAGCUUGGAACAGAAACAUACAAACACCCAGGUUGGGGUGUGCUGGGCUGAGGUUGGGAUUCUAGUCUAGAUGGGGGUCCUGCCUGGUGGUUUAGAGUGGGUGGUGAAAUGCAGCAAAUCGAGGUGGAAAUGGGUUGUUAAAGACUCGUGUUUUGCAGGCAGAUCAGCGUUGAACAAUGGCCUUGGAGGGCGGGGAGGGAAGCCGGAAUCUAUAGCCUCUGCAGAUACCCUGGUAGGAAAUACACCUGUUGCGGGUGACCCCAAGGGACCAGCAUGGGGGUCUGCGGGCAGAGAUGCUAAUGAUGGCCCAAGCCAGCUCCAGCACAGCCCUGGGAGCCCCAGUACCUACCCUGACGACGGCAGGGCAGCUGCACAUAAGGAAGUAACACUGUCCAUACAGAACAACACGGAUUGGAGAAGAGGUCUCGCCAUGACCUGGGACUAGGACCCUGAGAAAAACUGACAAGGCCAAAGAUGUUUCUCUUAGCCCUUGGCCAACAUCUGAUGAAGGCGCUUCCCCCAGCGAGGCUGAAUGUUAACUCCCGAGAUGCACCAGCCGUGGCUUAUUUGUGUAUGUCUGUCCUUCUAAAUCACACAUGCAUAUUACUUGAUGAUUUUUUAGUUACCUGUUUAAAUAAUUGAAGUUCAACAAAGGAUAAUCAUGCUUUGCAGAGUUCGGAAGUUCCCAAGGCACUCUUGGAUUUGAUAAUGCACCAGAAGGACUCAUAGGAUCACAGAAAGCUGUUCUACUCACAGUUGUUGUUUGUUACAGCAGAGGGAUAGGGACAAAAGUCAGCCAAGGGAAGAGGAGCCGGUGGGGAAGCAGUGACCAGGACACACCCAGGCACAGAGCCUUCAGUUGUCCUGUGCCGGGCAACGGGGGGCAGCGCUGGCUUCUUCUGGUAAUUAUGUGUGGCAAUAUACUUGGAGUUUCGUCAACCAGGGAAGCUUCCAGAGCCUUGGUGUUUGGAGUUUUUAUUAGGAUUCUGUCAUAAUUGACUACCCGUCUGCCUGACCUUUAGCCUCCAGACCCUCUUGACCUUGAGCUAAUAGCAUGUGUCCCACAGACCCUUCCAGAAAUUCCAUUAUAGACGAUCAGUCUACAGGUAAACAGAUACUCUCAUCAAGCAGGAUGCUCCAGAGGCUUAGAGAUGACCGUCCAGGGGGCAGGGGCAAAGGCUGGUGCUCUCCAGGUUUGGUUAGUUGUUGACUACACACCCUUGAACAUAUUACUAUAAAAAUACUUUUGAACUUAAGAGACACAGGUCCCCAGCUGGUGUUCCGCGGACAGACCAGGGAAGCCACACCCUUUACACAAUGCUGUUCAGUGACUCUUAUCCUUGCGUUUGCAGAAAGAAUGUGCAAUGUAUUUCCUUAAAUUAGCACACAUAGGAGACAAAUCAGUCACAGUGCCUGACGUAGCCAUAGCCCCUCAAGAAAACGGCCGCCAUUCCUGGGGUGGCCAGUGUUUGUCAGAGACAGUAUGAGUCCUAGGACCAGAUCCUUUGGCCCAGCCUGACUUAGAAAUGGGCCCCGCAGGCAAUGACGGUCCGUUCACCAGCUGGUCUCGGGGCUGCGGCAUGAUUCAAUGCCAAAGUCUCCGUUCAGAUGUGAUUUACUGACAUUAUCAGCAGAGCCUACCGGAAGCCCUCGCCUAAAGUUAUACUGGACAUCGAAGAACAGUUAGGCCAGUAGGAAAUGAGAGGAGUGUGUAGAACACAGAGUAGUUGAAUCACAUUGAUGGGGAGUGAGGUCCUAGGGUCCCCCCUUGUGGGAUCCUGGAUGAUAAUGCAGUUGAUUCCCUCUUACGAUUUUUAACAGUUCCUCUGAAAGAGGCGCCCGGGUGACUCGGUCGGUUCAGUUAAGUGUCUGCCUUCGGCUCAGGUCAUAAUCCAGGGUCCUGGGAUCGAGCCCCGAGGUGGGCUCCCUGCUCAGCGGGGAGCCUGCUUCUCCCCCUGCUCGAGCGCUUGUUCUCUGUCAGAUAAAUAAAUAACAUCUUUAAAUUAAAAAAAAAAUUCCUCUGAGUUUCAAUCUCUUUAUUGCCUCUCACACAUACUCCUAAUCAAGGCUGAGUGCAUCUAGUCCUUAAGAGCGACAGAGGCACGUUGAAGCGAUUAUCAAAGGUCAGUGCUGAGUCAGUCAAGGACACAAGGAGCUUAGAUCAUCCUCCCUUUGAAUGAAAGUUGAAGGUUUUUGAAAAAACGGGCAAUGCGAAUCACUCAUUCUUUCUCCUUGAGGAAACCUUUGCAUGCCUUUAACAAGAAAAUGUUAAGCCCGAUGUUUUUAAAAAUGUAAAUGGCGGGUCUAGAUGGACCACAUAUUAUCUGGUUCUUCACAUUCAGUAUCAUUUUAUUUUAUUUUCCAUGAAUACUGAGUAGGAUAGACUGUAUUUCCUGUUUCCUGAAGUGGGAUUUUCAUCACGGUUCAAUAAUGAAUAUUGAAGGACUUCUUGCGAUUGUAAUUGACGACGGUUUACAUCAAACUCUAAUAGCAGCGAUCGGACUUCACCGGAUCUGUGGGUGGAAAUAAUUUAAUGGGACAUUUCAUCAGGAAAAGAAGUCUUUUCUGUGCACCGUCAGCUCCGUUUGGUUCCUGGACAAAAUGAAGCUGCUCCAUGAACAGCGUCUGUCCUGUCUCUGAUUUCAAGGGUAAACUGUUCUUUCUUAGGCUUUUGGAAAGGUGUUUUGCAAGCGUGGACGGAAGGCCGAUAAAGUCACGCAGAACAAGGUCAUGGACAUGGUACCGAUCUUUAUUCGUAUUUGGAAGGUGGCAGCUAAGUGUGCUUCAGCGGGUACUGAGCCAGGAGUUGAAGGCUGUUUCCUGCUUAGCUCUGUGGCUUUGGGAAACGCACAUAACCUCUUUGGGCUUCAGUUUCAUUUUCUACCAAAUAAAGAGGU